CUACGGGAGGCAGCAGCUAAGAAUCUUGCGCAAUGGGCGAAAGCCUGACGCAGCAAUUCCGCGUGGGGGACGAAGGCCCUCGGGUCGUAAACCCCUUUUGCGAGGGAAGAAGUUCUGACGGUACCUCGCGAAUAAGACACGGCUAACUACGUGCCAGCAGCCGCGGUAAUACGUAGGUGUCGAGCGUUGUCCGGAUUUAUUGGGCGUAAAGAGCCCGCAGGCGGCUUGCCAAGUUCGAGGUGAAAUCUCCCGGCUCAACCGGGAGGGUGCCUUGAAAACUGGCAGGCUUGAGGCAGGGAGAGGGAUGUGGAAUUCCCGGUGUAGUGGUGAAAUGCGUAGAUAUCGGGAGGAACACCAGUGGCGAAGGCGGCAUCCUGGCCCUGUCCUGACGCUCAGGGGCGAAAGCGUGGGGAGCAAACAGGAUUAGAUACCCGUGUAGUCC
rnacentral:rRNA from 1 species